GAGUGGUGCUGAGGUGAUUUAGUCCCUCGUCCCUGGAAGUCUCCUAGAGCAGAGGAUAUCAGCUUCCACAGGAGCUGUAAGCAGAGUUCUGUGAGGACACAGCUGUUGAUUGGGUCAGGGUGUUGCAGCCUUCGGCCAAAGGAGCCUUUGUGGGAUGUCUGAUGUGGGGGCUGGAAGAAGAAGAAGAGAAUUACAGGAGUGGCUGCCUUCAUUGAAUUUUGGUGUAUGCUUCUUCUGCAAUGAAUGCAAGUGUUGGGAAAAAAAAGAAAAAAAAGAUAGCCAAUCUGCAAAGAGUUACAUAUAUGCAACAAGAAAAUACAAAAGAAACCCCACAUGAUCCAAAAAGGAGCUUUCAGCGUGCGAACUGAAAACUUAAAACACAUGUUAGAUAGAAGUCUUAUCUACUGGAUCAUUUAAAAGAAGCAGUGUACUUGUGUUUGGUGAGGAAAUUACUAUUUCUAAUUUGAAGAUCCUAACCAUCCCAAGAUGAGUCCCCAGCAGUUGGUUGCAUUACGCAUGA
rnacentral:lncRNA from 1 species